rnacentral:rRNA from 1 species
UACGUAGGGGGCAAGCGUUGUCCGGAUUUACUGGGCGUAAAGGGCGUGCAGGCGGUCUGUUAAGUGCAGGGUGAAAGCUCCCGGCUCAACUGGGAGAGGUCCUUGCAUACUGGCGGACUUGAGGGGGGUAGAGGAAAGUGGAAUUCCCGGUGUAGUGGUGAUAUGCGUAGAUAUCGGGAGGAACACCUGUGGCGAAGGCGGCUCACUGGCCCGGAACUGACGCUGAUGUACGAAAGCGUGGGGAGCAAACAGG